GUGAAUCAUCAAAUUUUUGAACGCAAAUUGCACUCUCUGGCAUUCCGGACAGUAUGCCCGUUUGAGGGUCAGUUUAAAUAAAAAUAGAGGUGUUGCUGUUUUGUGACCCAUCGGAAUUGGGUUGUCUUUGACAUUUUAAAAAUUUUAAGUGACCUAAAAUUGAUACCUUGUGCAUCUCUGACUUACAUAAGUAUAUUUUUGUCUCCGUCCGGAGUUGCCACCUUUUUAUUAGGAAUGACCAGGCUGUUUGUGGCAUCGUG
rnacentral:misc_RNA from 1 species